AUUGAACGCUGGCGGCAGGCUUAACACAUGCAAGUCGAACGAGUGGCGGACGGGUGAGUAAUGCUUGGGAAUCUGGCUUAUGGAGGGGGAUAACGACGGGAAACUGUCGCUAAUACCGCGUAACAUAGGAUGAGCCCAAGUGGGAUUAGGUAGUUGGUGGGGUAAUGGCCUACCAAGCCGACGAUCUCUAGCUGGUCUGAGAGGAUGACCAGCCAACACGGGGCUUGUGCCCGGCCCGGGCUCCUUCGGGGUGCCGCCGGUGGGAAUCUUUCGCCAUGGGGGCAACCGUACGCCACCCUGCCGCGUGGAUGAAUGAGGCCUUCGGGUUGUAAAGUUUUUUCCGGGACGAAGCGUUAAUCACAGAAGAAGCACCGGCUAACUCCGUGCCAGCAGCCGCGGUAAUUC
rnacentral:rRNA from 1 species